AACGAACGCUGGCGGCAGGCCUAACACAUGCAAGUCGAGCGCCCGCAAGGGAGCGGCGGACGGGUGAGUAACGCGUGGGAACGUGCCCUUUGCUACGGAAUAGCCUCGGGAAACUGAGAGUAAUACCGUAUGUGCCCUUCGGGGGAAAGAUUUAUCGGCAAAGGAUCGGCCCGCGUCGGAUUAGGUAGUUGGUGGGGUAAUGGCCUACCAAGCCGACGAUCCAUAGCUGGUUUGAGAGGAUGAUCAGCCACACUGGGACUGAGACACGGCCCAGACUCCUACGGGAGGCAGCAGUGGGGAAUCUUGGACAAGGGGCGCAAGCCUGAUCGAGCCAUGCCGCGUGAGCGAUGAAGGCCUUAGGGUUGUAAAGCUCUUUCGUGGGGGAAGAUAAUGACGGCACCCCAAGAAGAAGCCCCGGCUAACUCCGUGCCAGCCGCCGCCGUAAUAC
rnacentral:rRNA from 1 species